rnacentral:snRNA from 1 species
UCCUUUCUGGGGAAUCCGAUAAAAUUGGAACGAGAAGAUUAGCAUGGCCCUUGACAAGGAUGACACUUACUAAUGGAGAAAUGGUCUAAAUUUUU